UACGAAGGGGGCUAGCGUUGCUCGGAAUCACUGGGCGUAAAGCGCACGUAGGCGGAUCGUUAAGUCGGGGGUGAAAUCCUGGAGCUCAACUCCAGAACUGCCUUCGAUACUGGCGAUCUUGAGUCCGGAAGAGGUGAGUGGAACUCCUAGUGUAGAGGUGGAAUUCGUAGAUAUUAAGAAGAACACCAGUGGCGAAGGCGGCUCACUGGUCCGGUACUGACGCUGAGGUGCGAAAGCGUGGGGAGCAAACAGG
rnacentral:rRNA from 1 species